GUUUUUUUGGUCAAGUCGUUAGGGCUGCAGUUUUCUUUGAUAAUGUCACUAAUAUCUAGAAUUCUCCUAACAUUGUUGGACAGAUUCAUUGUUUUUCACAGUUCUGUGGGUUGGCUGAAUGGCUCCUCUGCUGUUUUCACCUGGACUGACUUAUGUGGCUGUGUUGAAUUGGAGGGUCCAAAGUGAUAAAACUGGACUUCAUUAAAAUAAAUAAACACUUUUUUCUUUUCUUUUUUUUUUUUUAGUUAGAAAGACCCUGUAAAGAGCUUGAAAAAAUGAAUUACAGAGUGGGAGAAAUAAUUUGCAUAUCAUAUAUCUGACAAAGAACUUACAUCUAGCAUAUGUAAAAGAUUCUCAAAACUCAAUAGUAAUAAAUAAGGUAUCCAAUUAGAAAAUAGGCAUAUGUGACCUCUCUGUAUUAUAACUUAAACCUCCUGUGACUACAGUUAUUUCAAAUGAAAUAAACAAAACAGUAACGCCUGUUUCUGGCAUAUAAAAUAAUCAGAGAACAUAGAAUUGUACAAAGUUAAAUUAUUGGGCCAUUUACUUAAUUUAAAUAUUUUUAAAUGCGUGUACCCAUUUUGCUUGAAGGUGUGUGCAAGUAUGCUUGUAUUUUUUUAACGAUAAUAUGGUCACAUGAGCANNNNNNNNNNNNNNNNNNN
rnacentral:lncRNA from 1 species